UAGGGAAUCUUCCACAAUGGACGCAAGUCUGAUGGAGCAACGGCCGCGUGAGUGAAGAAGGUUUUCGGACCGUAAAGCUCUGUUGUUGGUGAAGAAGGAUAGAGGUAGUAACUGGCCUUUAUUUGACGGUAAUCAACCAGAAAGUCACGGCUAACUACGUGCCAGCAGCCGCGGUAAUCGUAGGUGGCAAGCGUUGUCCGGAUUUAUUGGGCGUAAAGCGAGCGCAGGCGGAAGAAUAAGUCUGAUGUGAAAGCCCUCGGCUUAACCGAGGAAUUGCAUCGGAAACUGUUUUCUUGAGUGCAGAAGAGGAGAGUAGAACUCCAUGUGUAGCGGUGGAAUGCGUAGAUAUAUGGAAGAAUACCAGUGGCGAAGGCGGCUCUCUGGUCUGCAACUGACGCUGAGGCUCGAAAGCAUGGGUAGCGAACAGGAUUAGAUACCCUGGUAGUCCAUGCCGUAAACGAUGAGUGCUAAGUGUUGGGAGGCUUCCGCCUCUCAGUGCCGCAGCUAACACAUUAAGCACUCCGCCUGGGGGAGUACGACCGCAAGGUUGAAAC
rnacentral:rRNA from 1 species